rnacentral:rRNA from 1 species
CCUACGGGAGGCAGCAGUGGGGAAUCUUGCGCAAUGGGCGGAAGCCUGACGCAGCAACGCCGCGUGCGGGAAGAAGGCCUUAGGGUCGUAAACCGCUUUCAGGGGGGACGAAGCUUCCGGGGUUAAUAGCCUACGGGGUGACGGUACUCCCAAAAGAAGGUCCGGCUAACUACGUGCCAGCAGCCGCGGUAAUACGUAGGGACCGAGCGUUGUCCGGAAUCAUUGGGCGUAAAGAGCGUGUAGGCGGCCUAGUAGGUCUCGUGUGAAAUCCCGUGGCUCAACCACGGACACGCACGGGAAACCCCUAGGCUCGAGUCCGGAAGAGGAGAGCGGAAUUCCUGGUGUAGCGGUGAAAUGCGCAGAUAUCAGGAAGAACACCCGUAGCGAGGGCGGCUCUCUGGGACGGUACUGACGCUGAGACGCGAAAGCGUGGGGAGCAAACAGGAUUAGAUACCCUGGUAGUCCACGCCGUAAACGAUGGAUGCUAGGUGUGGGAGGUGUCGACUCCUCCCGUGCCGAAGCUAACGCAUUAAGCAUCCCGCCUGGGGAGUACGGCCGCAAGGCUAAAACUANAANAUAUGACGNGNGAGAGCGACGACGACGACGACGAGGAGAG